CGCUCCUUGGUUUUAACUAAUAAGGAGUCGGACCUGCCCAGUGAUAAGUAUUUAACGGCCGCGGUACUCUGACCGUGCAAAGGUAGCAUAAUCAUUUGCCCUAUAAUUGAGGGCUAGUAUGAAUGGUUUGACAAGAACAAUACUGUCUCUUUCAAAANUUUCUAGAAUUUAUUCUUUAGGUGAAGAAACCUAAAUAAAAUUAAAAGACAAGAAGACCCUAUCGAGCUUAAACUCUUUUUAUAAAAUAAAAAAAAUUAAUAAUAUUUUUUGUUAUAAAAAAUUUUGGUUGGGGCGACUAAGGAACAAAAAAAGCUUCUUUAUUUAAUAAAGACAAAUAUGUAUUGAUCCAUAAAANUCUUGAUUAAAAGAAUUAGUUACCGUAGGGAUAACAGCAUAAUCUUUUUUAAGAGUUCUUAUCGAAAAAAAGGUUUGUGACCUCGAUGUUGGACUAAAAUUUCCUAAUAGAUGCAGACGUCUUUAAGGG
rnacentral:rRNA from 1 species